AACGAACGCUGGCGGCAGGCCUAACACAUGCAAGUCGAGCGAGGACUUCGGUUCUAGCGUCGCUCGGGUGUGUACCGCGUGGGACUGUGCCCUUCUCUACGCAAUAGCCCUGGGCAACUGGGAGUAAUACCGUAUACGCCCUCUUUGGGAAAGAGUUCUCGGCGAAGGAUCAGCCCGCGUUGGUUUAGGUAGUUGGUGGUGUAAUGGCCUACCAAGCCGACGAUCCAUAGCUGGUUUGAGAGGAUGAUCAGCCACACUGGAACUGAGACACGGCCCAGACUCCGACGGGAGGCAGCAGUGGGGAAGCGUAGACAAGGGGGGCAAACCUGAGCUAGCCAGGCCGCGUGAGUGAUGAAGGACGUAGGGUGGUAAAGCUCAUGCAGCGGGGAAGAUAAGGACGGGACCAGCAGAAGAAGCCCCGGCUAACACCGG
rnacentral:rRNA from 1 species